UUUGGGUUUUGGGUAACUUUCGUUUUUUUUUUUUUUGGCUUUUAAUUUUCUAAUUUUUUCUAAUUGGUGACGCUUCAAUUCGAUUAUUUUUAAAAAAACAAAGAUAACUGUUUUUAAACGUUCUAAAACAACCCAGAUUACAUAGUAUAAACACAAUACAUAGAAAUCUGUUCUAAGAAAAAAAUCAUUCCACUGUUACCGCUUAAUAAAAAAUUAAUUGUUGUACCAUUCAUCAAAGUGGACUUGCUACCAUUUCCAAUUAUAUUUAGAUUUCCAUUUCUACAUAUUAGUAUGUGUUGUUCUCAUCUUCCUCCAUUCAAGGCGUCCUAGCUAGGCUCCCGGCAGUAAUGUACAUGGAGAUAUAAAGCCUCCAAAUAUACCAUUAGAUGACAUUUUUGUGUGCAAGUUUGGUGAUUUUGGUAUAUGUCAGUGUAAUUUCACAUUGUAAAACCACAUUGGAGAACUAUGCCCAAAGUUUGAAAUAUACUCUUUAAGGAUUAUAGUCUAAAGGAAAAUAGUGAGGGGUUUUAUUUGAUGACAUAAGUUAAUAAUUUAGUGUAACAAAUUAUUUUUAAUCUUUUUUUUAGAUGGAGUAACACCCAAUGAAUCCC